UACGAAGGGUGCGAGCGUUAUUCGGAAUUAUUGGGCGUAAAGGGCGCGUAGGCGGCGCGGUAAGUCACUUGUGAAAUCUCUGAGCUUAACUCGGAACGGUCAAGUGAUACUGCAGUGCUAGAGUGCGGAAGGGGCAAUCGGAAUUCUUGGUGUAGCGGUGAAAUGCGUAGAUAUCAAGAGGAACACCUGAGGUGAAGACGGGUUGCUGGGCCGACACUGACGCUGAGUGCGCGAAAGCCAGGGGAGCAAACGGG
rnacentral:rRNA from 1 species